rnacentral:rRNA from 1 species
CCUACGGGCGGCAGCAGUGAGGAAUAUUGGUCAAUGGACGAGAGUCUGAACCAGCCAAGUAGCGUGAAGGAUGACUGCCCUAUGGGUUGUAAACUUCUUUUAUAUGGGAAUAAAAUGUUCCACGUGUGGGAUUUUGUAUGUACCAUAUGAAUAAGGAUCGGCUAACUCCGUGCCAGCAGCCGCGGUAAUACGGAGGAUCCGAGCGUUAUCCGGAUUUAUUGGGUUUAACGGGAGCGUAGGUGGAUUGUUAAGUCAGUUGUGAAAGUUUGUGGCUCAACCGUAAAAUUGCAGUUGAAACUGGCAGUCUUGAGUACAGUAGAGGUGGGCGGAAUUCGUGGUGUAGCGGUGAAAUGCUUAGAUAUCACGAAGAACUCCGAUUGCGAAGGCAGUUCACUGGACUGCAACUGACACUGAGGCUCGAAAGUGUGGGUAUCAAACAGGAUUAGAUACCCUUGUAGUC